GACGAACGCUGGCGGCGUGCUUAACACAUGCAAGUCGAACGAAGUGGCGAACGGGUGAGUAAUACGUGGGUAACUACCCAUCAGAGGGGGAUAACACUUGGAAACAGGUGCUAAUACCGGAUAGUGGGGGAUGACUCGCGUCCUAUCAGCUUGUUGGUGGGGUAGUGGCCUACCAAGGCGACGACGGGUAGCCGGCCUGAGAGGGCGACCGGCCACAUUGGGCUGAGAUACGGCCCAAACUCCUACGGGAGGCAGCAGUGGGGAAUAUUGCGCAAUGGGGGAAACCCUGAUGCAGCAACGCCGCGUGCGGGAUGACGGCCUUCGGGUUGUAAACCGCUUUCAGCCAUGACGCGGUAGUGGCAGAAGAAGCACCGGCUAACUACGUGCCAGCAGCCGCGGUAAUAC
rnacentral:rRNA from 1 species